CCCUUAGACGUUCUGGGCCGCACGCGCGCUACACUGACACAGGCAACGAGCUUUCCUUUACCGAAAGGUAUGGGUAAUCUUUUGAAACUGUGUCGUGCUGGGGAUAGAUCCUUGCAAUUUUUGAUCUUAAACGAGGAAUUCCUAGUAAGCGCGAGUCAUCAACUCGCGUUGAUUACGUCCCUGCCCUUUGUACACACCGCCCGUCGCUACUACCGAUUGAAUGGCUUAGUGAGGCCUCAGGAUCCGCGCUUAAUGUGUGGAGAAUUUGGACAAACUACGUCAUUUAGAGGAAGUAAAAGGCGUAACA
rnacentral:rRNA from 1 species